GCCAUGCCGCGUGUGUGAAGAAGGCCUUCUGGUUGUAAAGCACUUUAAGCGAGGAGGAAGCUACUGUAGUUAAUACCUUCAGAUAGUGGACGUUACUCGCAAAAAAACCACCGGCUAACUCUGUGCCACCAGCCGCGGUAAUACAAAGGGGGCAAGCGUUAAUCGGAUUUACUGGGCGUAAAGCGCGCGUAGGCGGUUAAUUAAGUCAAAUGUGAAAUCCCCGACCUUAACUUGGAAAUUGCAUUCGAAACUGGUUACCUAAAGUGUGGAAAAGGAGGGUGAAAUUCCAGGUGUACCGGUGAAAUGCGUAAAGAUCUGAAGAAAUACCGAUGGCAAAGGCAGCCCCCUGGCCUAACACUGACCCUAAGGUGCAAAAGCUGGGGAAGCAAACAGGAUUAAAUAC
rnacentral:rRNA from 1 species